UAGGAAUAUGCCUUAAAGUGGGGGACAACUUGGGGAAACUCAAGCUAAUACCGCAUAAUCUCUUUGGAGAAAAGCUAGGGACCUUCGGGCCUGGCGCUUUAAGAUUAGCCUGCGUACGAUUAGCUAGUUGGUAGGGUAAAGGCCUACCAAGGCGACGAUCGUUAGCUGGUCUGAGAGGAUGACCAGCCACACUGGAACUGAGACACGGUCCAGACUCCUACGGGAGGCAG
rnacentral:rRNA from 1 species